UACGUAGGGGGCAAGCGUUGUCCGGAUUUAUUGGGCGUAAAGAGCGUGUAGGCGGCCUUACAGGUCAGCUGUGAAAACUCGAGGCUCAACCUCGAGACGUCGGUUGAAACCGUCUGGCUAGAGUCCGGAAGAGGAGAGUGGAAUUCCCGGUGUGAGCGGUGAAAUGCGCAGAUAUCAGGAGGAACACCAACGGCGAAGGCAGCUCGCUGGGACGGUACUGACGCUGAGGCGCGAAAGCGUGGGGAGCGAACAGG
rnacentral:rRNA from 1 species